GAUGAACGCUGGCGGCGUGCCUAAUACAUGCAAGUAGAACGCUGAAGGAGGAGCUUGCUCUUCUGGAUGAGUUGCGAACGGGUGAGUAACGCGUAGGUAACCUGCCUGGUAGCGGGGGAUAACUAUUGGAAACGAUAGCUAAUACCGCAUGACAACAGUUAUUGCAUGAUAACUGUUUAAAAGGGGCAACUGCUCCACUACCAGAUGGACCUGCGUUGUAUUAGCUAGUUGGUGAGGUAACGGCUCACCAAGGCGACGAUACAUAGCCGACCUGAGAGGGUGAUCGGCCACACUGGGACUGAGACACGGCCCAGACGCCUACGGGAGGCAGCAGUAGGGAAUCUUCGGCAAUGGACGGAAGUCUGACCGAGCAACGCCGCGUGAGUGAAGAAGGGUUUCGGAUCGUAAAGCUCUGUUGUAAGAGAAGAACGAGUGUGAGAGUGGAAAGUUCACACUGUGACGGUAUCUUACCAGAAAGGGACGGCUAACUACGUG
rnacentral:rRNA from 1 species